rnacentral:misc_RNA from 1 species
CUCACUUCUUUCAAGUUUUCCCUUCUCUCUUUCUCUCUCGAGGCUCGCGUCUCUGGAGAGAGGUAAAUUUUCUGAUAAAUAUUUAAAAAAAAAACUGAAAGAAGGAAUCGAAUCUUACCUGCGAAGCUGCAGCGAAAGUUUUUUUUACCUCCGAGGCUCUCUUCCCAGCCGCUCUCCACGUUUCUGCGGCCAUGACCGUGUUCUCCGGGAAGCAGGUGGUACCAGUCGACUACGAGGCUGAGGUCUCGCAGCGGCUUCUCGAAGCUUCUCUCUCCGAUGAUCGUAGAUCGGCUCUAGAAUGCAUCGCCGAUUCCUUCGUCGAUGUCAACUUCGUCGGCGCGGUUACCAUAAAAUGUAGAAAGAGUGAGGUCGUUUUGCGCGACGAAUCGCCGUGUGAUGUUCGUUUCGACUAUGAAGAGUUUAAAACUGACGUUACCGCUUUGUUCAUUGCCGUUCACGUUGGGAAUGUGGCUCUCGUGAAGAAAUUGCUGAGCGUAGGUGCUGACGUGAACCAGAAACUCUUCAGGGGCUUCGCGACAACAGCAGCAGUGAGAGAGGACCGCAUUGAGAUUUUGGAGAUUUUACUUAAAGCUGGAGCAUCUCAGCCAGCUUGUGAGGAGGCUUUAUUGGAAGCAAGCUGUCAUGGGCAGGCAAGGCUGGUGGAACUGCUUAUGUGCUCUGAUUUAAUUAGGCCCCGUGUUGCUGUGCAUGCUUUUGUCACUGCAUGCUGCAGGGGAUUUGCAGACGUUGUAGAUACUCUCACAAAGUGUGGCGUAGAUGUCAAUGCAACUGAUAGAUUGCUGCUGUUGUCAUCAAAGCCUUCUUUGCACACAAAUGUUGACUGUACUGCGCUUGUUGCUGCUGUUGUCAGCAGGCAGGUUGCUGUUGUUCAUAUGCUACUAAAGGAUGGUGCCAGGACUGAUGUGAAAGUGAGACUUGGAGCAUGGUCAUGGGACACAACUACUGGAGAAGAGUUUCGAGUGGGGGCAGGACUAGCUGAGCCCUAUGCCAUUACCUGGUGUGCAGUGGAGUAUUUUGAAACUACGGGUGCUAUAUUGCGCCUGCUCCUCCAACACCUCUCCCCAAACACUACUCACCACGGAAGAACACUCCUCCAUCAUGCCAUUCUCUGCGGUAAUGCUGGAGCUGUUAAUGUGCUCCUGAGUUAUGGUGCUGACGUGGAGUUCCCUGUCAAAAGUCAAAAAACUGAGUUCCGGCCCAUACACAUGGCUGCCCGUUUAGGCUUCCCAACUAUCCUUAAAUGUCUAAUAGACUCAGGUUGCGAUAUAAACUCCAGGACAGACACCGGUGAUACAGCUUUGAUGAUAAGUGCAAAAUACAGGCAAGAAGAGUGUCUAAGAGUAUUGGCCAUGGCUGGGGCUGAUUUUGGAUUAGUUAAUGUUGCUGGUCGGUCUGUGUGUUCAGUUGCUGGGAAAAAUAGGUGGUUCCUUGGUUUUCAACAAACAGUGCUUGAUGUGAUUAGGGAUGGAAAGAUACCCACAUCAAGCAAUAUUUCUGUGUUUUCUCCUCUAAUCUUUGUAGCUCAAGUUGGUGAUAUAGAGGCCUUAAAAGUGUUGGUUAAUUGGGGAGAGAUUAAACUUGAUUAUCAGGAUAAUGAUGGUUGCUCAGCAGUUAUGUAUGCUGCUUUAAAGGGUCAUGUUGAAGCUUUCCGUUUGCUGGUCUAUGCAGGGGCUGAUGUAAAGCUGUAUAAUAAAGCUGGUGAAACUGCUAUCACUUUGUCUGAAAUGAACCAGAAUCAUGAUCAAUUUGAGAAAGUGAUGCUUGAAUUUGCACUUGAAAAGGGUAAUCGCAAUGCAGGAGGGUUCUAUGCAUUACAUUGUGCAGCCCGUCGUGGAGACUUAGAUGCAGUCAAAUUGUUGACAAGCAGAGGUUAUGAUGUGAAUCUCCCUGAUGGGGAUGGCUACACUCCUCUCAUGUUAGCAGCAAGGGAAGGCCAUAGGUCUACAUGUGAACUUUUGAUUUCAUGUGGGGCACAGUGUGAAUUUAAGAAUUUUAGAGGUGAAACAGCACUCUCACUAGCAAGAAAAUGUGCUGGCAUGAUGAAUGAUGCAGGAAAUGUGAUACUAGAUGAGCUUGCUCGCAAGUUGGUUCUAGGAGGUUCCCAAGUACAGAAGCACAUAAAGAGAGGCAAAGGAGCACCACAUGGGAAGGAUUUAGUAAUGAUUGGAGGUACUGGAGUACUUCGAUGGGGGAAGUCAAAUCGGAAGAAUGUUAUAUGCCGGGAGGUAGAGGUAGGUCCGAGCCCAGUGUUUCGGAAGAAUAGAAGGAACAAGGGUGAUGCAGAUGCUCCCGGAAUUUUCCGGGUAUUGACUACCAAGAACAAAGAGUUGCACUUCAAAUGCAAUGGUGGGAUAGAAAUGGCUGAGAUGUGGGUCAGAGGUAUUAAACUUGUGACAAGGACAGCUAUAUGCUCUUGAACCCAGACUGAAGACAUGAAAUUUGAUGUCUUGCUUAGGAAGUAUAUAUAGGUGUUUAGAGUACUUCAUCUUGAAGUAGUUUGAACUGUUGCAUUUUAUUGUAAAGUUUUCGACGCCCAGUAGCUGUAAAUGCUUUCUCAUCCAAAGUAAAUUUUGGUAUAAUUUGGUUGUUGUACAGUUUGUCGGGCAGCUGCCUGAUGCUCCCACAUACUUCACCCAAUAUUUUAGAGCAUUGACAAUGAGGCAGGGAUUGCUAAUUUGAAAACCAGCGGUGCUAAGAGCUUGAUGUUUCAAACGCGAGGAAGCUGCAGCAUCUCUGUAGCAUCUUGUCACCAGAAUCACUACCUCCCUGCAUCAUUUUGGAUGAGGUUGAUGAACGCGAAUUCCAUUAUCAUCUGGGAAUUCAUGUCCAAGGUGUUCAAUUGUUAAAACCACAGCUGUGAUGAGAAUGACAAACUAGCAUGGAAAGUGGAUAAUAUCAUUGGGUGCUCGGCAACCUUAAUAGCAACAAGGUCUGCAUGGUUAAAUUAAAUAUUAAGAUUCGACAGCACUUGAUUGAAUUAUACUGUCAUUUUGAGUUUUCAUAUCAAUUAGGUUACUCGGUUAACUAUGGCCGCUAGAGCUGACAAAUGGUAUAGAAUCUGUAUCUGAAUACAAAAAUUAACGGCCACCAAGGCUUCAGAGAGGUCUUGAGAGAUGGCAGUGUUAAUCUGUUCUAUGAUUUCUCAUAUAAUAAACAGCAAGAGGGGUGAAGUUCCAAUGCCUUUUUGAUGCUGUGAAAAUUACCUUGAGCUGCCCACAAAAACAUGCAUAUAGCCUCACUUUGUCUUCAAAUCAAUAUCACAGGGUUUGCAAAUGCUAC